rnacentral:lncRNA from 1 species
GCUUUUUUCCUCAUGCACAGUCAUAGGACAGGCAUGGAGCAGAGAUGAGUGUUCCUUGUUUAUAUACAUUGGGUUGUGAGCAGAGCCACAUUCUGAUAGCCUGGCCUUGCAAUGACAUUUAUUCCAUGUGACAUUGAUACUCCUCCCAUGGUUUAAGUCCUCACAGGUGGAUCACGGCCCACAUGAAGCCAGAGCUGGAACCCUGUGCUUCUUCAAACAUCAAAAUUUCCCCUCUCAAACCCAGGGGACUUCUCUUAGCAAUCUGUAGGAGGAUCUCUUCACACUCCAGGAAGCAUAAGAAAACACUCAUGCAUGAAGAUGCUUCGAGGUUACAAAGAGCAAGAAACCAGACCCACAAGAGCCAAUCCACGGGCCUCAGGUCUCUGUGAAAACCCACUUUGGAAAACUCUGAUGUGGUUUCCAGACAACACUGGUAGCUGGAAAGCAUCCUAUUUUCACUUGUUGAAGACAUACCUGCCCUUGAACUCAUGUGCUCUGCUCAUAGAUGGGUCUGGCUCCUGAGGAGCUGGCUCUGCAGGGCAGAACCAGGCUCUGAGUGUGUGUCUAGAGAGAGUACCAGAUUCAGCAGCCCACAGCUGCCCACAUGCUUCUAGCAGGCUGAUCCCAUGAGCAGAUAGGACACACUAGAUCCAUGCUCUUACCCCCUCCACAUGCCUUAUGCCAACAUGGAGGUAGACACCAUGAAGGCCAUUGACACCACAGACUGAUGGAGUACAAAUAAAAGCAGAAUCAAUUGCUCCCUGUAACAAAUGACCCUGUCUGCAUGCCUGCUCUUCCCAUGCCCAUGAUUACCUGGGAUAGAGGAAUGUGGGCUGCACUUCCCCUGCAGAGACACCUGGAGUUCCUUUGUCUUUCCAUCCACCUGCAUGCCUUUGGACCUCCAAUAAAGCAGAAAUUAUAUUUUCACAGCAAGACUUUCCCAGUCGUGUUUUCUUGUAGGAAAAGCACAUAGAAGCAGGAACCAAUAAGGGACUUUUGGCUAUUACAGAACAACAAAUGUUGUCCUUGUGGAAACUAGAACAAAACAAAUGUCCACACUGAACAUUCCAUCAUAUUUGGAAAAGUAAAUUAUCUAUUGUG